GGGUGCGGGUGCAGCGGGCAUCGUCAGCUGCGCGAGCGAGCGAGUGAGCCGCUCGUAUAAAACCAGCGUCCUCCCCUCUCUCGUUGUCACACUCGCACGCACGCACGCCACGCGUGUACAUCUCCCACGCCGCACGUGUACCAUCUCGCACGCCACACGCACGCUACACGUAUAGAGAGCUCACAGCGCGUUCGGAAAGGAAACAGGAGCCGAUCGUAGCCACUGAACCCGCGUCUUGAAGUGUAAAAAUACGAGUGGUUAAUUGGUAGACCUAGAAGGUUUUUUGUUAAUCUUUUAGUCCUGUUUCCAACUUUGCUAGCCGCAGUCUUGUUUUUUACAUUUCUAUUUUUUUUUUUGUUACGCGAAGAUAUUUGUUGGGUCCGUGUAUUUUUAAAUUACAUCAGCGCUGCUUUAUUCUUAGCGACAUUACUUGUCCUUAGUCGUCAAGCGCAAGCUUUGAGCGGAGUUCGCGGAGUCACUUGCGGUGUUCAGUUAAAGGGCGUCAGUAGCAGCAGCAGCAACAGCAGCAGCAACAGCAGCAGCAACAGCCACCGGUGAAAUGAGUAAGAACCACUCCGAUCUUGAGACCUGCCUGGUGGUGAGCAGCCACCACGAGGACGAGACAGAGAGCGCCGUGCCACCGCUGUGCGAGGCGGACCUUCUGUGUGCGCAACCGUUACGUCAGGUUCGCACCCUGUUCGUGAGUGGGCUGCCUAUGGACAUUAAGCCCAGGGAACUCUAUCUCCUCUUCCGACCUUUCAAGGGAUACGAAGGAUCUCUUAUCAGGCUCACAUCUAAACAGCCCGUAGGAUUUGCGAUGUUUGACAGCAGAUCGGAAGCAGAGGCAGCAAAAAAUGCUCUCAAUGGAAUUCGUUUUGACCCGGACAUCCCUCAGACGCUGCGGCUGGAGUUCGCCAAGGCCAACACCAAGAUGGCCAAGAACAAAUUACUGGGGACACCAAACCCCACGGUGCCGCAUCCCGCUCUCGGCCCACACUUCAUCGCCAGGGAUCCUUUCAUCCACAAUGGGCAUCUAAUCUUCAUGGACCACAUUGCAGAUGACAUGUCUGGGGCGGCUCUCAUACCCGCGGGGCCGGAAGCGUGGAUGCCUUACCCCCUGUACGCGGCAGAGUUCGCCCCGGGCCUGCCCCACCACGCCUUCGCCUACACGCCGGCCGCCGCCACCGCGGCCACAACGCUGCACACACAGGUUCGCUGGUUGCCACCCCCAGCAGAGACGGCCCCACAGGGCUGGAAGGGAAGGCAGUUCUGUUAGGAUGAGGUUUGUUGGAUGUGCGAUGUGGCGUGUGACCCUGCUUGGGCGGCUCCCGGGCAAGAUGAAUUGUGGGCGACGCGUUGUGAUGGGGCAGUCAGGAGCCGCAUGGCCAUGGAAGGGAAAGGCUCCCAAUACACUAAACGCGACCUCACAUCUGAUGCCCUGCAUCGUUCCCCGGGGGCUACCAACAGCAUCACACAUCCAACAAACGUAGCAAUCAUCGCUCAUGUUUUGCCUUUUGAUACCUUAUUCAAUUUAUUUAAGAACAACGACGAAAAAAAAGAUGAUCUUUCCAAUUGUAUAAAGUAAAUCGUCAUUCUAAGCAACAAAUUGUCUAUGAUAUUUUUAUAUCCAAAAAAAAAAAUGUACGCUUCUAAUCCGUUAUUACGUUUUGGAUUUUGUGUGUUUCUGUUGCAUGCUCUUUAUUGUAAAAAUAAUAAUGAAUAAUAAUAAAAAGUUAAUACCGUAUGAAUUAUUAUAGAUACAUAAUUGCUGUAACAAUUUUAUUAGAAGAGGAAUUGUACUCGGAUGUUUAAAAAAAAUAUUUCAAAAGUGCAAUGUCUUUUGGUAACAUUCUAAAAUAAUAAUAAUGGUUUUUUGUUAGUUUUGUUUUUGCUAUGGAACACUUUUUCAUGCAAUAUGUUCAUACAGGUAUACAAUAUACUGUCUGGUGCCAUUGGUAAGAGUAACACAGUUGUAUCGCUGCAGGAGAUGUUAUUUGAAAAUUGUGUUUUAAGAAAUGCGGUUAUUUGUGCUCCAUACAAUUGGGGGGCGGGGGGGGGGAAGGAUAAAGUAUUUGCUUUUCAUUUUGUAAAAUAUUUCUGGGUUGUGUCUGGCUACCCAUGCUAAUAUUGUAAAUGCUUUAUGAGCAUUGUACUUUUUUCUUCAUUAAAAAAAAACUGUUAAAAU